UGCAAGCCGCUGCUCUCCAAGACCUACGACCUCUCAACGGUGCUCACGGACACGGUGUACGUGGGCUUCUCGUCGGCCACGGGUUCUUUCAACUCGCAACACUGCAUUCUUGGCUGGUGUUACGCGAUGGACGGACCUGCUCCGGCCAUCGACAUCGCCGAGCUAACAAAGCUCCCUUGCUUAGGCCUAGAGCGCCAUCCCAAGCUCGCAGAGAUCAUCCCACCCGUAGCGACGACAAUGUUCACCUUUGCCGCGGGCACCCUCGUCGUCCUCCUAAUACGACGGCGGCUCAAGUACAAGUAGCUCCGAGAAGAUUGGGAGAUCGAGUUCGGGCCACACCAGUUCUCCUACAAGGAUCUAUUCAUCGCCACCGGCGGGUUCAAGGAGAAGAAUCUGUUGUGUGUGGGAGGUUUCGGGAGGGUAUACAAAGGGGUGCUACCACUGCCCAAACUGGAGAUCGCAGUGAAGGUGUCACAUGACUCAAAACAAGGCAUGAAAGAGUUCAUCGCCGAGGUUGUGAGCAUUGGGCGACUACAACAUCGCAAUCUCGCUCAGUUACAUGUUUAUUGCAGGUGUAAAGAUGAAUUGCUCUUGAUAUACGAGUACAUGCCAAAUGGGAGCCUUGAUAGGCACUUGUAUGGUGAUGAUGAGAAGCCGGUUCUAGAUUGGGACAAAAGGUUUGCUUCGGGGUUGCUCUACCUCCACGAGGAGUGUGAGAAAGUAAUCAUCCACCAGGACAUCAAAGCUACUAAUGUACUCCUCCACAGUGAGAUGAAUGGUCGACUUGGUGACUUUGGAAUGGCAAGGUUGUACGAUCGUGGUGCCAACCCACAAACCACACACAUGGUUGGGACCAUAGGAUACCUAUCUCCAGAGCUUGGUCGCACUAGCAAGGCAACCCCCUUGACCGACGUGUUCGCCUUCGGCAUAUUCCUUUUUAAGGUUACAUGUGGACAACAACCCAUUAGGCAAAAUUCACAGGAUCACUAG
rnacentral:rRNA from 1 species